rnacentral:rRNA from 1 species
CCUACGGGUGGCUGCAGUGAGGAAUAUUGGUCAAUGGACGAGAGUCUGAACCAGCCAAGUAGCGUGAAGGAUGACUGCCCUAUGGGUUGUAAACUUCUUUUAUAUGGGAAUAAAACGUUCCACGUGUGGGAUUUUGUAUGUACCAUCUGAAUAAUGAUCGGCUAACUCCGUGCCAGCAGCCGCGGUAAUACGGGGGAUCCGAGGGUUAUCCGGAGUUAUUGGGUUUAAAGGGAGCGUAGGUGGAUUGUUAAGUCAGUUGUGAAAGUUUGCGGCUCAACCGUAAAAUUGCAGUUGAAACUGGCAGUCUUGAGUACAGUAGAGGUGGGCGGAAUUCGUGGUGUAGCGGUGAAAUGCUUAGAUAUCACGAAGAACUCCGAUUGCGAAGGCAGUUCACUGGACUGCAACUGACACUGAGGCUCGAAAGUGUGGGUAUCAAACAGGAUUAGAUACCCGAGUAGUC